GGGCCUGUAGCUCAGGUGGUUAGAGCGCGGUCCUGAUAAGACCGAGGCCUCUGGUUCGAGUCCAGACAGGCCCA
rnacentral:tRNA from 1 species